UUUUCGGUAGUCAGACAACAGAGGUUCAGACAAAAACAGACACCAGCAGCGUGCAUGCAAAAAUACCUAAGUCUCCAGAAAGCAACAACACCCAGACACAAAACAAACAAGGUCGCAUUGUGAUUCCUGUCUCCGUUGGAGCCAGUGCUGUAACAGUAUUUGUAGUUCUGCUGCUGCUGAGAUCCUACUUCCAAAAGAAAACUGUUAAUGACAGAAAGCCAGAUAAUGUCUAUGAAUCUAUUGAAGAUGUUAGAGUGGCUGCAAAUGAAAGUCAGUACGAAGCCAUUUAUGUCCUCGCAGGAGACCCAGCUAUAAUCAAUCUGGGUAAAA